rnacentral:tRNA from 1 species
CGGUGUAGCUCAGUUGGUAGAGCAACUGAUUUGUAAUCAGUGGGUCGUAGGUUCAAGUCCUAUCUCCG